rnacentral:rRNA from 1 species
UACGUAGGGUGCGAGCGUUGUUCGGAUUUACUGGGCGUAAAGCGCACGUAGGCGGCUUUGCAAGUCAGGGGUGAAAGCCCGGGGCUCAACCCCGGAAUUGCCUUUGAGACUGCAUCGCUAGAAUUGUGGAGAGGUAAGUGGAAUUCCGAGUGUAGAGGCGAAAUUCGUAGAUAUUCGGAAGAACACCAGUGGCGAAGGCGACUUACUGGACACAUAUUGACGCUGAGGUGCGAAAGCGUGGGGAGCAAACAGG